GUAACGCGUAUCCAACCUUCCCACUAACUACGGGAUAACCCGUUCGAAAGAACGGCCUAAUACCGUACGAUAUCGUUUGCUGACAUCAAAUAACGAUUAAAGGUUUAGCGGUUAUGGAUGGGGAUGCGUCUGAUUAGCUUGUUGGCGGGGUAACGGCCCACCAAGGCAACGAUCAGUAGGGGUUCUGAGAGGAAGGUCCCCCACAUUGGAACUGAGACACGGUCCAAACUCCUACGGGAGGCAGCAGUG
rnacentral:rRNA from 1 species